GGGAGGGGAAUAUAUGAUAUUUGAAAAAAUGGAUAGUUUUGAAUACAUUCUAUGAACUAGUCAUAUAUGUUUGAUAGAAAGAAAAUUUUGGCUCUAAUGCCCACUUAAGUUCAAAAAUUGUGGAGAGUCUACAAUAUACAAUAAUUUGUUGCAGUGGAAUUAGUGCCUUUGCUUCCUCUAGUACAUUCAAUUAAAUUGCCCAAAGGUAGAAAACUACCAAGUAUGAGCUCAGGAUGUUCAAACUAGUCUCAUGACUGAAAAGAAUAUAGAAGUCUAUGUAUUGUAUCAUCCUCGUAGUCAGUUGUUUGUUAUAGUUGUCAGCCUUUAAGAAUUCAGAUUGGACUCUAGUCACUUUAGUAGAGCAUUGAAUGUACAGUAUAUUAUUUUAUUUAUGUGUCAUGGAUUAUUAUUUUGUACCACAGGUAGUUUUAGGACAGAAUGAAAGAUCUAUAAUACAUUGAUAAAUACUAAUGUGUUUUGCAGUUAACAAAAUAUUUUAAGAGACAUUUUGUUGUUUCUGAGUCAUAGUGCCUUUGGUAUGUCAUUGUUGUCAGGUACCAUGUACUGUUCACUGUAAUGUUUGUUUUGUGAAUUUUGUUUGCACAUAGAUAAUAAUGAUGGUAAUGAUGAUGAUACUACUACUACUACUACUACUAAUAAUAAUGAUUAUCAUUGUUUUUAUUAUUAUUAUUAUUAUUAUUAUUAUUAUUAUUAUUAUUAUUGAUAUUGAUAUUAUUUUGAUUAUUCUAAUGUUAUUAACAAUACUAAUAUUGAUAAAGAUAAAAUAAAAAACUGAAAAUCAAGUACAAGGGUAAACAGCAAGAUGAGGUAGGACUAGCAAUGGAGUCUUGGAUCCCUGGGUGACUAAUCAUUUUAUGGAACCAUCUGUGUGUACACAGAAUUAAUAAACUCAAAUCACAAUGUACAUGGGUGCAUGCACUUGCCAUGCUAGCAUCAGUAAGUUGAUUUCCAAAGGCUAUGCUUAACAUGUAAUAAUCUAGUCAGACUUACAGGACCUAGAACUCGCUCAAAUUAAUUUCAAAUGAUUAAAUUGUGAUAUUAUUAUAGGGUGAUUAUGUUCAUCAUGUGUGUUUCAACAUCACUCCUUCCUUCUUUCCCUGUACACUUGCAACUUGAAAUUAUUACCUUUUUUGGGGACUACUGUGUUGACAGGAAUAAUUCAGUCUAGUUGAUAAUAAACCUUUUACUAUAGUGAAUAAGUACUAUCCUACCUUAUAACCCUCCAACUGCAAGUUUAACUGUAAAAAUGGACAGGAAGUUGUCUGAUCUCAAAACUUCCAGGAUUUUGAAUAGUGAGGAAACAAAAACCGAUAUAAGAAGAUGGCAGAAAAGCCUGAAUCAGUGUGCCUAGUCUUCCAGACUGCCUCCCAUGUGUGUAAGUGUAUAUGUUGCUGAGUUAGGUAUAUUUUUGUAAUCUCUUGUUUAGGUGGUUUAUUAGUUUUGCAAUAGUGGAAUUCAUGGGGCAAAGAACCUUCACCACAUUCUACUUCAUGGCCAACAUGAUGACUUUAGAAGCUCACUAGUUACUUCAGAAAAUGUUUGGUGACAGAGCUAGCUUUAGGAAGCUAUUAGUGACAGUGCCAUCGCCUACAUCAGAACAGUUUCUACAAUUAUUUGAAGUAAGGCUAAUAGUCCAUUGAAGGUGAUGACUAUUCCAUAUGAAUGGGGAUGAAUACUAAUACAUCAUCAGAAAAUAUUAGAGAUGUGUGACAGGCUAUUCCUGCAGAUCAUAGGCAAGCCAUCCAUGAAGUUUGUGAUAUCAUUAGACUGACAUUAGUGAGCAUUCAGUGUGAUGAGAAAUAUAGCUGUAAGAAUUAUGCCAAGAAUAUUGAGUGACAAUCAGAAGGCACAUCAUGGUCAAGUUUGCAGAGCUCAAAAAUCAAGUAAAAAAUUACACCUACUUAUAUAGUUCUAAGAAGAAAGCAUGGCAUACAGAAACCAAGAAUCUUCUUGUAUUCUGAAGGUUUUGAUGUGUAAUUAACAUGAAAUAAACCAGAGUAUUA